UACGUAGGGUGCAAGCGUUGUCCGGAAUUAUUGGGCGUAAAGAGCUCGUAGGCGGUCUGUCGCGUCUGCUGUGAAAACUCAGGGCUUAACCCUGAGCUUGCAGUGGGUACGGGCAGACUAGAGUGCGGUAGGGGAGACUGGAAUUCCUGGUGUAGCGGUGAAAUGCGCAGAUAUCAGGAGGAACACCGAUGGCGAAGGCAGGUCUCUGGGCGAUUAAACUGACG
rnacentral:rRNA from 1 species